CCUACGGGUGGCUGCAGUAGGGAAUCUUCGGCAAUGGACGAAAGUCUGACCGAGCAACGCCGCGUGAGUGAAGAAGGUCUUCGGAUCGUAAAACUCUGUUGGUAGAGAAGAACGUUGUUGAGAGUGUAAAGCUCAUCAAGUGACAGUAACUACCAAGAAAGGGACGGCUAACUCCGUGCCAGCAGCCGCGGUAAUACGUAGGUCCCGAGCGUUGUCCGGAUUUAUUGGGCGUAAAGCGAGCGCAGGGGGUUUAUUAAGUCUGGUGGAAAAGGCAGUGGCUAAACCAUUGUAUGCAUUGGAAACUGGUAGACUAGAGUGUAGGAGAGGAGAGUGGAAUUCCAGGUGUAGCGGUGAAAUGCGUAGAUAUAUGGAGGAACACCGGUGGCGAAAGCGGCUCUCUGGCCUGUAACUGACACUGAGGCUCGAAAGCGUGGGGAGCAAACAGGAUUAGAUACCCCUGUAGUC
rnacentral:rRNA from 1 species